rnacentral:misc_RNA from 1 species
GUAUGUUCAGAGGCGGCUUGCUGCUGGCUCCUUUCCGGAGCAUGUGCGCGCCCCUCGCCUUCAUCCAUAUACACUUGUGCACCUCGGUCGAAGCCUCCCGUCUGGAGCCGCCUCGCGAUCCCUCGCGGGGCUGAGGCCUUCGAACGCUUUACAUUACUGCAGCCUGUUCAAACGCAUGUCUAAUGUCCUACGGGGCGAUAUCUAAUACAACUUUCAACAACGGAUCUCUUGGCUUU